UACGUAGGUGGCAAGCGUUGUCCGGAAUUAUUGGGCGUAAAGCGCGCGCAGGCGGUUCUUUAAGUCUGAUGUGAAAGCCCACGGCUCAACCGUGGAGGGUCAUUGGAAACUGGGGAACUUGAGUACAGAAGAGGAAAGCGGAAUUCCACGUGUAGCGGUGAAAUGCGUAGAGAUGUGGAGGAACACCAGUGGCGAAGGCGGUCUCCUGGAGCAUACUUGACGCUGAGGCGCGAAAGCUGGGGGAGCGAACGGG
rnacentral:rRNA from 1 species